CGACGCCGUUUUAAACACCCUUAAACCCUCAUUUUGGCUCCUUUUCUCCUAUUUUUUUAACACAGCCGACCUCUUAAUUUUUUUUAAACAAAAAACCCCUGAAAUCAGUCGGCUAGGGUUCCAUUAGCACGCAGCCGCCAAACCACCAUUGUUUAGUGACCAACAACACCCAAACAACGCACCGAUUAUGCCAUUGAAGGUGCAUGACCACACCCUAAAGGAUUUAGUUCCAUUGACGUGGAUGUACGGAGGUGCACGGAGGCAGUCGUGCGUGAGAAUCCCUCGUGGGAAGCUGACCCUCUAGUUUAUUUCAGAAGUUUCUGGCAUUUUCAGGCUGCUGAGAUUCUUUUUGGGUGUAUUGGGCCUCGUGUUUGGGCUAUUGGAAUUGGGUUUGAGGGUUUAUUCAAUUGGGUCAUGGGUUAUUUUAGUUUAAUGGACUUUUAUUGUAUUGUUUUUUAUUUUAGUUUUGGGUUUUGUAAAUGGACUUUGGCCCUAUAAAUAAUUUGGUCAAUUAUUUAUUUUUGUUUGGUUUUAAAAA